AGCCUUGCUCCUGCAGCAAGCACUGAGGUGCUAGGCGCCUGGGCUUUCCCUUCCCUUUUCCUGAAAUACAGACUGGCUUCUCUUUGGAUAUUGGCAUCCAGCCUUCUGGCAAACUGGGAUUCAGAAUGGCAGAAUAUAGACGCCGUGAAUCUAGUGUCAAUAACAGACCGAUACAGGGGACAACUCAAGCUGAAGGAGGUUCGCCGUGCAGAAAGGGCUUGCUUCUCGCCAAGCGCAGUAGCCAAGGAAACCACCACCGAGGACUGGCCCAGAUAGAAGUGGCGUGGCAUGGCGCCUCUCCUUCCAAUCCGCUGGGCAACAACGUGGCCCAUCGGUGCUGAAGUUUUUAACAAUCUCCUUUGAAAUGUAACUCAUUAUACAAAAGCAGAACUAAAUAAAAAAUACUCCAGAGAGGGAACAGAUUGUUAGCUAUAGAUUAGAAGUGUAGCCUAAUCCUUCACAAGCAUUAAAUAUUUAACAUCAUUGCACCACAGGUGCCAAGAAGAUGUCAG
rnacentral:lncRNA from 1 species